rnacentral:misc_RNA from 1 species
GAACAAUUUUAAAAUAUUAUCAAUUUCAAUUCAAAUUUUGUUCUUUAGAGAAAGAGAGUUCCAAGUCAAGAGAAGGACGAUAAAUUGAUAAGCAUGAGAAUGAAAGCCUUUUUAGUUAGCUAAACAGGCAUAAUAUAUAAUUAAAAAAAGGACAAGAAGCUGUAUAACAUAAUCCCCUUUAAUUAAAAAGAGAGUAACACUGAAAUGAAUGUGGGCAAUUAUGUUGCCAUGAAUUUAUCACAACUUGGAAAAACUAAUUUUGCCACUUAAAAAUCGUAAUUGAGGAAGCAAUAGAAGCAAGGGGAAGACAAGUAGAGUGAAGAAAAGUAGAAUGAAGUCGAAAACAAUAAUGUAAAAACGUAAAUUGACUUUUGAAAGCUAUUGGACAAGUGUAUUGUCUAUUGAAGGUAGAAUAAGA